UACGGGGGGGGGCAAGCGUUGUUCGGAAUUACUGGGCGUAAAGGGCUCGUAGGCGGCCAACUAAGUCGGACGUGAAAUCCCCAGGCUCAACCUGGGAACUGCGUCCGAUACUGGAUGGCUUGAAUCCGGGAGAGGGAUGCAGAAUUCCAGGUGUAGCGGUGAAAUGCGCAGAUAUCAGGAGGAACACCGAUUGCGAAGGCAGCUCGCUGGGACGUUACUGACGCUGAGACGCGAAAGCGUGGGGAGCAAACAGG
rnacentral:rRNA from 1 species